rnacentral:lncRNA from 1 species
CCAGCUCUGGCUUAGGCACAAAAUGAAUAUUUUUUCUUUAACUGGUAAUAAAAUUGCAUUAAAGAGAAAACCUAAAAUGAAGUGGUGGAAAAUUCUACACAAAUCAUUCAUUUUGAAUUAUUUUUAACUGUGAAGAUAAGCAAUAUGAAAAUAAAGUAGGAAAUAAACUUUCCCUUGCCGACUGAAUUCUUCUUUGCCUUUACUGCUUCCCUUUAGUUUUGUGCACGAUUUUGGGAUUGAUUUUUGAUAUAGGAUGAUUGGGUUUAAGGUGGGUACAAAUGGUUCAAGGUGGUGGCAGUGCAUGAAUGAGCCCUUGAACUUGAACACCUAUUUGCCAAAAGAAAAUGACUUGCUCUCAUAUCAAAUUGACAGAGAACACAAUUGAAAAGAAAUAGGAAGAGUGAACAAAGAGAAAGAUGGAGAGGAUACAAAGAAUUUAGAGGGGAAAAAAAUCAUUUUUUAUCAAAGUCUA